UACGUAGGGGGCAAGCGUUGUCCGGAAUUAUUGGGCGUAAAGAGCUCGUAGGCGGUGUGUCGCGUCGGCUGUGAAAACCCGCGGCUCAACUGUGGGCGGGCAGCUGAUACGGGCAGGCUGGAGUUCGGUAGGGGAGACUGGAAUUCCUGGUGUAGCGGUGAAAUGCGCAGAUAUCAGGAGGAACACCGGUGGCGAAGGCGGGUCUCUGGGCCGAUACUGACGCUGAGGAGCGAAAGCGUGGGGAGCGAACAGG
rnacentral:rRNA from 1 species